UUAAACAACAUGAGGAGCAGUCAUUUCUACUUUUCAAAUACAUAAUGUGGCAUAUAUACUAGUUGUCCCCAAAAUGGCGUGAGCCCAGUGAACGCCAUUUUGGCUCAUUGCCUUCAUCGAACGUUAAGGAUCCCCCUGUUUUUCUGCUUUAUUAUUAAAUUAACGGGGAUUCGUGUUUAAUAAAAUGAAAUAAUUCAGGCUCCAAUUUAUCUCAAAGGCCUGGUUCUUGGUCAUUCCCCAUGAGUUUUAUAAAACCAAUUUAAUUGAAAAUUAACUUGUCAAAAUGUAGUAAUAAACAGUUUCUUUCCACUUUGCUGCAACUGCGGCAUUAGCUGUUAAAUAACGUUAGCUAGGCGGUCCUUGCGCAACAAAAAAUACGCAAAGUCGUAUGAAUUGUAAAUGGCUGCAGUAUGCUAAUAUACGUUUUGAACAUAAGACACUAUUGGGGAGGGGGUGGGGAGCUUUUUCCCCCCCAAAAAAUAAAGGACACCCUCUAUAAUCAUUAAGGACACCGAGGUGGGACGCUGAUGAGUCACACGCCAUGUGCGUGCUGGAGGAUGAAUACCGGCUCCUCGCCUCCAUGUUGCACCCGUCGGGAGCGCGGAACCGCCAUGUUGUCAACGGAUGCAAGCGCGCACCCGAACAUACAGCUUUGGGAGUCAAUGCGCGCGUUCACGCAGGUGGAAAGAACAAGGCUACCAUGACUGGCAGAAACAACCUGGCAACUCAUUUUUGACAUCUGUCCCCAGUUACUGCUUAAAAAUCCUGAUGUGGACCCUUACAAAUAAGCCAGACAGGCCAAAACGAGCCAGGAGAAGGAAAUAAGGGACAUCCGAGCAGAAACGUCACACACAGUUCAGGUAGCAGGCACUUCGACUUGGCAGCUGCUGCCUUCACUCAGCACCAAGCACAGCGAUGGCGAGGGGGGUGGGGGACAGAGUGAAAAGCCUGAGAGGUGGGUAGGGAGAUAAGAAGAGAGCACGGAGGAGAUAAGAGCAGAAAGAGCGCGAUGUGGAGCAGCAGGAAAUUUACAGUUGUUAAAGAGCUCGUCUUGACAGACACCUUUUAAAGUGUAGGUCUUUUUUAUACGCAAAACACCAGUAAAUGCACUGCUUAUGCAUGCAUGUGAAUUGCUCUUAAUGUUUGACUAUAAACCAGUUCUGCUGUGUUUUACAUCUCUAAAUAUAACCCGUCAGACGAGCUACAGAUGAGGAGCCACGCCAAUAACACAAUGAAAGAUUUAAAUGUGUUCACAGGGUGGAUAACUGCCAUUCUCCAGCAAGAGCGUAAAAAUGUGAGCCUCAACAAGCUCGCAGGGACCAGCUAGAACAGGGCCGCAGAGAGGGGGAAGUAUGACUCUUUCUCUGUGUUUGUGUGUCUGUGUGUGUGUGUGAGUGAAAGGGAGAAUGUGAUUCAACAGUCCGACCGACUGGCAGUCAGUCCCUGGCAGCACGUCAGUGAUGACUCAUCAGGUAUGAGCGGUGGUCAUGACAACGGCAGAUCUGAACUUCUCACUACUGACGUGGGAAAACAUGUUUGUUAGUGAGGAGGAUAGAUAGAAACAUACCAGAAUUGCAAUAAAUAUACAUUUUACCUACUUAUAACCAUGUAGUCAAGCAUUUAAUUUCAAAUAUAAUUUUCCAUAAUGCCAUUGUACAUGUACAAUGACAAUAAAGGGCUAUUCUAUACUAUAAUACAUUUUAUUUAUAAACCCUCUAUUGAUUAAGCUUUUUAAGCUUCCAAUAUGACCAAGUGGGUUAUUUAAGACUACCUAGCUAUAAUAUUUUACACAGGAAAUGGCUCUGCUUGUGUACAUCACAUCAAUACUAUUUUUUAUUUAUAACAGAUAAUAUAAAAAGUUCUGAUUAAUUAUAAGUUUCAGUCAUUUUUAAUCCAAAGUAUCUGUGUUUUCAUUGUCAUCUCGAGCAUUAAAUACAAACCUCAAGUAUCUACUCUACACCUGUUAGCCACAGUUCAGUGCAAAACAUCACAAAUUGAUUAGAAGUGGGAUGUUACAAUAAAAUAAAACCUGAUAAUGCUAUGCUAUACAACCUACAGUAUUAAUGGCUCAUUUCAAAAAAAGUAUGAGAAGUAGGUCAACAAAUGUGGUGUUAAAUAUUUUUUUAUAAAUAAACAGCACUAAUAGAUUUACAGCUGGGGCCGUGUAUGACUUUAGGCAGUCACCUGAGGGUUACAGAGCCAGAAUUGACAGAUAUAUGCUCAGAUGCUUUUGUUAACACAGACUCAGUGCCUUAACUAAAUGUGUGACCAAUUGUGCUGACGUCUGUAGCCACCGCCACCCCCAAACGUUUGAAUUUGAGUGGAAAAUCCCUGACUGCAAUUAGAUAUGCAUGCUUUUGUCUUCUUGUCUUGUGUUGUAUCCAAAUUCAGAUGCCUUAAGUAACAAAAUCCUCAACAUAGGUUUGAAAAGGCUUUGAUGUUCCGAAAUUAUGUGGAGACUCAAAUAUUACAUCUACAAAGAUUGAUGUCCAUAACUUCGGACAUUUAACUGUUGAUGUGACACUGGGAUUUUUUUUUAAUUAUUAUUCAAAGAAAUCAGCUUGAUUUAAUAUUAGGAUAUGUCUCAAUCAAUGUUUUAUAAAAAGCAUUUUUAUUUGAAUAAUUUACCUCCCACAGUAAACACAAUGUCAUUUGAAAAACAUCCCUUUCUUAUUUUACUUGAAAUCACAUUUUUAAAAUUAAUUUUAAUGCGAAUUAUGUUUGUUUCUUCCACAUUUACCUUCCAAUAACUGAUAAUAUUUACAAAGGAAGUAUUCAGUUUCAAAGCUCUUGUGUAUCUGGUGUAAGUGUUUACCAUUAUCGGGAUGUUUUAGUUGCAGUCAAAGAAGAGACAAAGGCUACUUAUGUUAAAGCUGUGGUGGAUAAAAGGAUCACCAUGAGACUGGCUCCCAU